AUACCUUUCUCGGCCUUUUAGCUAAGCUAAGUGUAGUAUCUGUUCUUAUCAGUUUAACUAGUAUGGUGACCCGCACAGAUUGUGCGGCUAGUAUCGUUAUAUUUUUCCCACAUAAUAGCAUAUAUAUUUUUAUAUUUUAUUAUUAAAAUAUAUAAAAAUAAUAAUA
rnacentral:snRNA from 1 species